AGCUCAUGCAAGCCAGAUGCAAUAAAAUUAACUAUAAUUUGAAAUAUUAAUACAUUCCUCGUAGGUAACAUUCCAAAUGCAAGAAUAGAUAGUAAUGACUAUACAGAAAUACUAGCAUAUGCAACUGAAUCGGUCAAAAUGCACAUACUGUUUCACACAUAAGCACAAAUAGAGAAUACAAAAACAUGAGCAUAUAAAAAUGAUAGCACUACAUGUUUCCCAGUAAAGACAGAUACUGCAAGCUGGCACAUUUUAAUGGCUAUCUGCAAUGAGAAAGACUGCCAAAUGUAAACAUGAACAACACAUUAAACCGAUAUGGAAACUAUCAAACUAAGCACAGACUUUGUAACUGAAAUUGAAAUUUGGACGUAGGCUCAAUGUCCUUGUUCAAUCAUUCUGCAUUGUCAUGCGAGUGUUGAAGGAGUAAUGAGAACUGGAAACUGACUUUUAUUAAUGCAUUAGGGAAAUGAACAAACAGUAAAGUUCCUUUCUCUCUUGUUGCAUUCUCUAAAACCAAACCAAUUAAAAGUGGCUAAACCACACACAUACACACAGAGAAAUCUUUGAUUAUCUAGUUGGAACACUGCCAACAAGUCUAGCACCAAUUCUAUCUAACCUCUUCACCAUAGCCACAGCUUUCAAAUUCCCUUCCUUCGAAAAGGCUUCCACCAUGCUCUUCCCAAUCUCCUUUCCUCUCUCUUCAUCAUCAAUCACCGCCACAGCCGUAGGCCCUGCCCCGCUAAUGGUACACCCAAAUGCCCCAGCCCUCAUCGCGGCCUUCUUCACCUCUUCCAUCCCAGGAAUCAAUGGCGCCCUUUUGGGCUCCACGAUCUUAUCAGAUGACAGUGCCUGGCCCAAACCCACCAAAUCCCCUUGCAGCACAGAGGCCACUAACGCCCCAGCUUGGCUGCAGUUCCAGACGUGGUGAGGCAUCCCGAUUUCUGCCGGUAAAGCAGCUCGCAUUUUCUUGGUGGGCGCCUCGAAAUCAGGACUUACGAGGACAAAAAAGAGCUCCUUUCCUUCUGGGAACUUUAAGCUCAUCAAUUCUAAUGGAUCAUAACUUCUAAUCAAUACAAAUCCUCCCAUGAUUGCUGGCGCUAUAUUAUCAGCAUGAUAGCCUGAAACUUUGGCUUCAGAUUCCAGUCCAGCAAGAACUAAAUCCUUAACUUCUAAUUUCCCACCAAAAAUCUCGUUAACAGCCACAGCAGCUGCCGCAGCACUUGCGGCGCUCGAUCCAAGGCCGCUCCCCAAGGGAAGGCCUUUUUCAAGGGUUAGCGAAAGACCCACCGACCGUAUGUUGAGCAUUUUCAUGGUAGCAAUAGCGGCGAUACCGGCGCAGUUCCAGAGAGGAUUCUUGGAGAGCUUUAUACUAGCGUGGGUUCCACAAAUGUCAGAGAUGGAGAUCUCGCCGGGAUGCACAGAGGGGUCGAUGCGGACGGAGACAAAGUCACCAAGGCCGUCGACGGCGCAACCUAAGAAGUCGAAGCCGGGGCCGAGGUUGGCAACAGUGGCAGGGGCGAACGAUCUGACGGAGGUGAAGACGGGCUCGGGUUCAGUGGUGGUGAUGGUAGGGAGAGAGAAGUUGCAGCGGAUGACGGCUGGUUUUUUAUUGUAUAUUAAUGGAGAAAUUGAAAUGGGUUUCGCUGGAGAUAAGAAGCAGAUCGCCAUUAUAAGAGCUAGAGAGUGAAAGAGCUAGUUUGAGUUAGCGAGAGACUGCCAGAGUUUCAGGGUUUUAGAGAGAAGACCCAACGCGCAGGGUUG
rnacentral:misc_RNA from 1 species